rnacentral:rRNA from 1 species
UGGAGAAUUUUGGACAAUGGGGGCAACCCUGAUCCAGCAAUGCCGCGUGUGUGAAGAAGGCCUUCGGGUUGUAAAGCACUUUUGUCCGGAAAGAAAACGCCGUGGUUAAUACCCGUGGGCGGAUGACGGUACCGGAAGAAUAAGCACCGGCUAACUACGUGCCAGCAGCCGCGGUAAUACGUAGGGUGCAAGCGUUAAUCGGAAUUACUGGGCGUAAAGCGUGCGCAGGCGGUCCGCUAAGACAGAUGUGAAAUCCCCGGGCUUAACCUGGGAACUGCAUUUGUGACUGGCGGGCUAGAGUAUGGCAGAGGGGGGUAGAAUUCCACGUGUAGCAGUGAAAUGCGUAGAGAUGUGGAGGAAUACCGAUGGCGAAGGCAGCCCCCUGGGCCAAUACUGACGCUCAUGCACGAAAGCGUGGGGGAGCAAACAGGAUUCAGAUACCCUGGUAGUCCACGCCCUAAACGAUGUCAACUAGUUGUCGGGUCUUCAUUGACUUGGUAACGUAGCUAGCGCGUGAAGUUGACCGCCUGGGGGAGUAC